rnacentral:rRNA from 1 species
GAGUAUCAUUACGCGGAGGAGGAGCGGGCUGGAACCUCUCGGGGUUACAGCCUUGCUGAAUUAUUCACCCUUGUCUUUUGCGUACUUCUUGUUUCCUUGGUGGGUUCGCCCACCACUAGGACAAACAUAAACCUUUUGUAAUUGCAAUCAGCGUCAGUAACAAAUUAAUAAUUACAACUUUCAACAACGGAUCUCUUGGUUCUGGCAUCGAUGAAGAACGCAGCGAAAUGCGAUAAGUAGUGUGAAUUGCAGAAUUCAGUGAAUCAUCGAAUCUUUGAACGCACAUUGCGCCCUUUGGUAUUCCAAAGGGCAUGCCUGUUCGAGCGUCAUUUGUACCCUCAAGCUUUGCUUGGUGUUGGGCGUCUUGUCUCUAGCUUUGCUGGAGACUCGCCUUAAAGUAAUUGGCAGCCGGCCUACUGGUUUCGGAGCGCAGCACAAGUCGCACUCUCUAUCAGCAAAGGUCUAGCAUCCAUUAAGCCUUUUUUUCAACUUUUGACCUCGGAUCAGGUAGGGAUACCCGCUGAACAUAAGCAUAUCAAUAAGCGGGAGGGAGAA